rnacentral:tRNA from 1 species
GCUUCUAUCGUUUAAUAGGUUAAGACCUUGUUUUUUCGAAACAAAAAUGUAAGUUCAAGUCUUAUUAGAAGUA